UACGUAGGGGGCAAGCGUUGUCCGGAAUCAUUGGGCGUAAAGAGCGUGUAGGCGGCCAGAAAAGUCCGCUGUGAAAACUCGAGGCUCAACUUCGAGCUGUCGGUGGAAACUUUCUGGCUAGAGUCCGGAAGAGGAGAAUGGAAUUCCUGGUGUAGCGGUGAAAUGCGCAGAUAUCAGGAAGAACACCCGUGGCGAAGGCGGCUCUCUGGGACGGUACUGGACGCUGAGACGCGAAAGCGUGGGGAGCGAACAGG
rnacentral:rRNA from 1 species